rnacentral:tRNA from 1 species
GCGCUCGUAGCUCAGCUCGGAUAGAGCGCUUCCCUCCGAAGGAAGAGGUCGUACGUUCGAAUCGUAUCGAGUGCACCA